CUGUGGAAAAGCGAGAGGAAACAUGUCUGCGCACUGCUUGUUAGAGUAACAGCUUGUGACUGCACUCAGAAACGAUUCUCCUAAAGACCCAGUCUCCUCCUGUUACCGAGAGCACAGCGAUGGAUUUUUGACUAUGACGGGGAGUGCCAGAGGUGAUUACACAUAAUGGGCCUGACUCUGAAGCACUCUGGGAGGUGUCUGGAAACCGCUGCAUCCCUCCCUUGGAUCACACCACAUGAUGGCAACGGACCUGCUGAUUUGAGCAAGUCCUUGGACUCAGGUUCAUCUGUUUCAGAAGACCAAAUUUGAUGUGGAUUUUUCAUCUGGGCACGGCAAUCUGGGUUACAGGAGGCAUCACGGUUAUAAGGGACAGUGAAGCUCGAAGAUCUCUUCAAACAAGAGCAAAGUCACUGGGCUGUAGGUCUGUGCCAGCCUCCGGAUCUGACCCUACGGCUAGUGGGGCAAGCGAGGGACGUGCCCACCCACUGCGAAGGGCCGGGCUUGUCUGCAAGCACGUGCUACUGGGACGCGUUUCUCCCAGUUCAACGCUCUGCUGCUCGAAGCAAGGCUUUGCUGUUGUAGCCUGUGCCGCAAUGUGUAAAGUAGCUAAGGCUUUUCCCCCUAACUGUGCCCCAUAAGUAUUUCUGUACUAUCGGUAAGGAGCAAAAUAGCUCUUCAA